CNAUUCGCCCUUCGGGGUGCCCAGGCGCGAAACCUUUACAAUGCUGGCAACAGCGAUAGGGGGACCUCGAGUGCCAGGUUACAAAUCUGGCUGUCGUUGUGUCUAAAAAACACGAUAUAGCAAGGGCCGGGCAAGACCGGUGCCAGCCGCCGCGGUAACACCGGCGGCUCGAGUGGUAACCGUUAUUAUUGGGUCUAAAGGGUCUGUAGCCGGCCGGAUAAGUCUCUUGGGAAAUCCAGCAGCUCAACUGUUGGGCUUUCAGGAGAUACUGUCUGGCUCGAGGCCGGGAGAGGUGAGAGGUACUUCAGGGGUAGGGGUGAAAUCUUGUAAUCCUUGAAGGACCACCAGUGGCGAAGGCGUCUCACCAGAACGGACCUGACGGCAAGGGACGAAAGCUAGGGGCACGAACCGGAUUAGAUACCCGGGUAGUCCUAGCCGUAAACGAUACUCGCUAGGUGUCGGCCACGGUGCGACCGUUGUCGGUGCCGUAGGGAAGCCGUGAAGCGAGCCACCUGGGAAGUACGGCCGCAAGGCUGAAACUUAAAGGAAUUGGCGGGGGAGCAC
rnacentral:rRNA from 1 species